rnacentral:rRNA from 1 species
CUCCAAGGCUAAAUACUCCUGACUGACCGAUAGUGAACCAGUACCGUGAGGGAAAGGCGAAAAGAACCCCGGCGAGGGGAGUGAAAAAGAACCUGAAACCGUGUACGUACAAGCAGUGGGAGCACCCUUCGGGGUGUGACUGCGUACCUUUUGUAUAAUGGGUCAGCGACUUAUAUUCUGUAGCAAGGUUAACCGAAUAGGGGAGCCGGAGGGAAACCGAGUCUUAACCGGGCGUUAAGUUGCAGGGUAUAGACCCGAAACCCGGUGAUCUAGCCAUGGGCAGGUUGAAGGUUGGGUAACACUAACUGGAGGACCGAACCGACUAAUGUUGAAAAAUUAGCGGAUGACCUGUGGCUGGGGGUGAAAGGCCAAUCAAACCGGGAGAUAGCUGGUUCUCCCCGAAAGCUAUUUAGGUAGCGCCUCGUGAAUUCAUCUCCGGGGGUAGAGCACUGUUUCGGCUAGGGGGCCAUCCCGGCUUACCAACCCGAUGCAAACUGCGAAUACCGGAGAAUGUUAUCACGGGAGACACACGGCGGGUGCUAACGUCCGUCGUGAAGAGGGAAACAACCCAGACCGCCAGCUAAGGUCCCAAAGUCAUGGUUAAGUGGGAAACGAUGUGGGAAGGCCCAGACAGCCAGGAUGUUGGCUUAGAAGCAGCCAUCAUUUAAAGAAAGCGUAAUAGCUCACUGGUCGAGUCGGCCUGCGCGGAAGAUGUAACGGGGCUAAACCAU